GACGGAGGAUGCAAGCGUUAUCCGGAAUGAUUGGGCGUAAAGCGUCCGCAGGUGGCAGUUCAAGUCUGCUGUCAAAGACCGGGGCUUAACUUCGGAAAGGCAGUGGAAACUGAACAGCUAGAGUAUGGUAGGGGCAGAGGGAAUUCCUGGUGUAGCGGUGAAAUGCGUAGAUAUCGGGAGGAACACCAGUAGCGAAGGCGACACUCUGGGCCGGUACUGACGCUGAGGAGCGAAAGCGUGGGGAGCAAACAGG
rnacentral:rRNA from 1 species